rnacentral:lncRNA from 1 species
CCAGAAGGAAGAAUCUGUGAACACAUCCGAACAUCAGAAGGAACAAACUCUAGACAUGCCGCCUUUAAGAACUGCAACACUCACUGCGAGUGUCCGCGGCUUCAUUCUUGAAGUCAGUGAGACGAAGAACCCACCAAUUCCAGACACAUUUUGGCGACCUAGAUGGGACAAUCGCCUAUCACCGAGUGGUGAGACCAUCGCCUAUAGCUGAGCGGCGAGACAAUCACCUAUCGCCAAGCAACAAGCAGAUGAAUGGUGAAACGAUACAGCAGAGAAAGAGAGAAGAGGAACAUUUGAACGCCGAGAGGAGUUCAGCCGAGGGUGGUCGGAGAGGUUUGGCCACCCAGCAGGAAGAUUAUCUUCCCGUGCCAUCCCCGCUUCCAGCUCUGCAUCCAUCCUUCAGAGAACCACCUCCACCACUCAAUAAAACCCUG